rnacentral:ncRNA from 1 species
AUGCUGUCUUUGGCGAUGCAAGAUAUCUUGCGAUUGCUUCGUGCUUGGUGGAUGGGUUUCAUUGGAGUACCACGUCUAACCGUCAGACGGGGAGAGAGAGCGGGAUGUUGAGUUGGUCCUACUUGGAUUUGCUUGCUUGGAUAAUGCUUGCACCUUGUUGUGGGUAUAUUCUCGACGUGCUUGUCCAUGAUGAUACACGAUGCCUUGCGAUUGCUUCUUGCUUGGUGGAAGGGUUUGGUCGAAAUUGAUGGAAUGUUAGGCCUCUACGUCAGUCGGGAAGUGAGAGCGGGAUGUCGAGUUAAUGUACUUGGACGUUCUUGCUUUGAUAGAGAAUUAGGGUUCGAUUUUGAAAAGGAAGCCUGAGAAACGGCUACCACAUCCAAGGAAGGCAAUAGACGCGCAAUUACCCAGUCCUAACAUGGAGAGAUAGUGACAAUAAAUAACAAUACCGGGGUCAUCAAGUCUGGUAAUUGGAAUGAGUACAAUCUAAAUCCCUUAACGAGGAUUAAUUGGAGGGCAAGUCUAGUGCCAGUUGCCGUAAUAAUUCUAGCUCCAAUAGCAU